GAUAACAUAAUUUCGACGGAUGCCCAUCGGGCUUAAUAGGGAAGCCGGUUUAAAUCCGGCGCGGUCCCGCCGCUGUGAUCGGUGACGAAAGCCGCAUAGAGCCACUGCCGCCAUAUAAGGCGGUGGGAAGGCGCGGCCGAUAGGUUGAACCGAAAGUCAGAAGACCUGUCCGUCGGAAACCUCUGGC
rnacentral:ncRNA from 1 species